GCAUCGUCAUCUGGUACUACUACAGUUGCAUCGUCAUCUGGUACUACUACAGUUGCAUUGUCUGGAACUGCUGCAACCGGUAGAGUUAUGCUUUUAUCUUAUUAUUAUUUUAAAUGCAAAUAUCUAUUUUUUUUUAUUAUAUUAUUUUUUAUUUCUUUAGAUCUAAAUUAGAGCAGCUACAAGC